rnacentral:rRNA from 1 species
ACGGUACGCGCCUCUUGUCGGGUACAAGAAGCCUUGGUCCAACUCUGGCUGGUUGGGCAAACUGUUUGGCGGUAAGAGUGAUUCCCACCUGACCAUGGCGUCGACCACUGGAAACGACAGGAUGGACAGUAUCAAGCGGGAUCUGCAAGCGAGGCAGCACAAGUACUUCUUUCGCCAUCAACCUGUACAACUCGUUUGACGUUAUCCCUGAUAUCUUUGCGACACUCUUCCGAGCAGCUGCCAUCUUGGGGCUACCACAAUGUCUUUGUCUCCAUUUUACGAAAAACGGUUCCAACGACCAGAACAAAGGCACUCCUUGAAGAUUUUUGGAUGCCCUCGCGCGAACGGUCGGUCUGAGGAUCAUCAUCCGAACAUCUAUGCGUACCCGCGGUCUGUUCAACCAUCGUAUCGAAUACCUCGCCGAAGUUCGAAACGCCGCCAUGCUGCCCCUCCACGAGCUUCGUGACAAUGACGGAGAAGUCUUUGACUCGGUCGUUUUCAUGAAUGAUAUCUUGCCUUGCGUGGACGACUUGCUCGAGUUGAUUUGGCAGAGUAGGAGACAGAAUGGGUUUCGGUAUGUAAUCGAUCCCUCUCUUCCCAUUGCUUCAUAUACCACCGAUGUGACUUCCGAAUUUGUGCGCUGUUCUUGAGCUACGGUAGCUAACAACUAUGUGAUAGGUCGUAUUGGUCGAAUUGUUCUCAGGUAUGCUUUUAAAUCAACGGGGUAGGACGUCCAUGUAUCUAACAUUCAAGUUAGGAACGCCAUCGAGCAUGGAGAUCUCGAGGUUGUUGCUGUCAACGAGUGAGUGUCCCAAAUGUUGACCCAUUGGAUGAAUUACUAAAUUGUCCAUAGCCCUUUCAUUGACUUGGACUACAUGGUACGGUACUCCUGUCUGCCCAAUAACCUCGUUUAGUACUAACGCUAUUGCACAGGUCUACAUGUUCAAGUAUGACUCCGUAAGUCUUCGAUACUUCUAGCGCUCUAUAUGGCUUAUUAACCUGAUUCCCGACAGACUCAUGGUCGUUUUAAGGGCUCCGUCGAGGUUAAGGACGGUAAGCUUUACAUCAACAACAAGGCCAUUGCCGUCUUCGGUGAGAAGGACCCUGCCAAUAAGCCCUUGUUCUAUAGAUUUGUCUCUAACAUGUUGGGUCUCGGGGGGCUUCCUCUAGAGACUUGGAUGUAAGGGGCUUUACGCAUUCGCAUAACUUAUGAAGUGUGGAUGACUCUAGGAGGGGUCUGAGAAUGUGCUGUGCCAGCCAGGCUGAUAAUUGUUUAAUUGUUAGCUUGGACUUGUACACAGUCUCAUCAGUCUUCAGCUUGGGUCAUUGAUAUUCUGUAAGUCAAAACUUAUCGAUUCACUGUAGUAGGUUGCGGAGGACUUGAAAGUUCUCUCUGCAAUUGAGACACUUACCAGGCCAUCGCAAGUUGGCAGUGUACACUACUGAUUUUACGGUCGUGGGGGACUUGGGAGCUGGUGCUUGUGUCGCAUGAGGUAGAGUUGAUAUGGAUGGAUGGAAGAGAAGCAUAUGUAUGUCGUGGGGGACUUGGGGUAAGACGCCUUGCGGCAAGUAGAGUCAAACCAGUAGUGACUUCUUUUGGUCAUGGGGGACUUUGGUAAUGGUAGUGAGCCGGAAUAAGGGAUGGAUAAAUGUAGUAUGGAUGGUGACAGGGGGAGCAGCAGAGCGUACGCAGUGGGUAUGUAUAUAGUUGAAAAGGGAUGGGCAGUAGAAUUUUGAGGAAUUAAUGACCUAAGGGUGGUUCUAAUAGGCUUGUCAAGAAAAAAGUUAAGUUGAAUCAAGCUGGGUCAAGCAAAGUCUAGAAAAGAUUUAUUGGUAAGUAUCAGCUGAUAUCCUGCUCAUAUCGAAAACGUACUUUUUAAUGUACUAACUCUAAUCCAGACUGGCAUGGUUUGCGGCAGCUUGGCACGGCUUUCAUGGACGGUGUCCCUGGUAUAACACAGGUAAGAAUCCUUAGGAACCACAGGAAUCGGUCAACUUAUAAACUGCAUAGUGUCCUAUUCCGCCUGGAAGCUCAUUUACCUACCAAUUCACCGUAAGCCAUCAAUCAGGCACGUUUUGGUGGCAUUCCCAUUAUUCCAAUUCCAUGGCCGACGGCAUUUGGGGCCCGUCAGUUUUCCUGACUUUUGAUAACAAGUUAUCACAGCUGAUAGGAUACCAUAGCUUAAUUAUCCAUUCGCCCAAUGAACCCCUCCAAAGGGGACGAGACUAUGACGAGGAUCGAAUCGUUUUUAUAACUGACUGGGUGUAAGUAUGACCGUUCUUUGGUGAGGCUCAAGCUAAACAUGUUACUUGGAUUAGAAAUGCCACUGUAAGUUGCAAUAUCCUCGUCACCAAAAUGUGGAACAUUACUUAUGAUCAUUCCCGGCUAGACUGGUUUAGGUUCCGGUGAACGAGCCUACAUUGAGGCUCGUGAGAAACUUGUCCAACCUGUAAUCGAGCAGAUGAUGGCUGCCCGAGGGCUCGAAACUCCUCCCCGGACACCUAACAUCGGUGUCGCCUUGGCCGGCGGUGGUUACCGUGCAAUGCUGUGAGUGGAUUAAUGUUGCAAAAGAUAUGCUCAUUACUUAUCAUUGGCACAGUACGGGGUUGGGUGGUAUCAUGGGCAUGAUGAAUGAGAGCACGGAAGCGUCCGAAAGCGAGACUGGUGGUUGGCUUGACGGCGUAAGCUACUGGGCUGGUCUGAGCGGUGGGAGUUGGGCAACCGGGACUUUCAUGUCUAAUGGGGGUCAGUUGCCCACAAAUCUUCUUGAAAACGUGGGUUUCUGGCAUGAUGUAUGUGUUCAUCUACUGACUUGCGUGAUAGCUCUGGAACAUCGAUCGCUCACCGCAGGUCCCCUUCCUUCCUCUGUCUCUCCCACCUCUCGGGUCUCCGCGCUCUCCCGCCCAUCCUCCUCCCCUAUCUUAUUGCGCAAUUCAUGAAACCACGCCGGUCUUCUUACUCGGCACAACUCCACCGAUCACACAUCCACGUGCUCGCCUCAUCGCCCCUACGAUGUUUCAUCCAAACAAUGCGAAAUAACCAUUAUAGGCUGUUGUUGUCCUCAAGGGUGAAUCCUACGUCCACGGCACUGUAUGCUUCACCCAGGAGUCGGAAAAUGCUCCCGUUUGCAUCACUGGUGAGGUACGUCAUUGGAUUCAUCGUGGAGUAACAUCCGGUCGCUGACAUGAUAAUCACUGAUCAGAUUAAGGACAUGGACGCUGACGCCAAGCGAGGCAUGCACGUCCACGAGUUUGGAGACAACACCAACGGCUGUACCUCUGCUGGCCCCCAUUACAACCCCUUUAAAAAGCACCACGGUGCUCCCACCGACUCCGAGAGGCACGUUGGUGACCUCGGUAUGUGCCCAUUGUCAUUUUCGGCAACUUUACCUUGAAGUCCGGCCGGUGAGCCAUAUCGAGCAAUUCAUAGUCCAAUCGAAUCUGACAUGUGUCCAGUCAAUCCCCUUACUUCUUCAAUGCCGGUCUCCUUUAUUCUUCAUCACUUCUCUCAACUACGGCCCAGGCUUACGCCAAGGUACUUUCCUCUUCUAGGAUUCCCGACUUUGACGUCCUCUUUGGCCCUGCUUACAAGGGUAUCUCCUUGGCUGCUGUCUCCGCUGUAAGCCUUUACCAGCAGACCGGCAAAGAUAUCGGUUACUGCUACAACAGGAAGGAGAAGAAGGACGUAAGUCUGUCCUGACCAGUGCGACAGCGAUUAGCUCAUAGCCAGCAGCAUGGUGAGGGCGGUACUAUGGUCGGUGCACCUCUCAAGGGACGAAUCGUCAUCAUCGAUGAUGUUCUCACCUCUGGCAAGGCCAUUCGUGAAGCUAUUGACAUUCUCAAGGCCUCUCCUGAAGCGAAGCUCGUUGGAAUUGUCCAGCUUGUCGACAGACAAGAGAAAGGCCAGAGCGGUAGCGGCAAGAGUACCGUACAGGAGGUUGAGGAAGAGUUCGGUGUGCCCGUCGAGCCUAUCAUUGGUUUGGAUGAUAUCGUGAAGUACUUGGAAAGCUC